GAAGAGAUGGCUGAGUGGUUAAAGCGAUAGACUGUAAAUCUAUUUACCACAGAGUACUCGUGGGUUCGAAUCCUACUCUCUUCA
rnacentral:tRNA from 1 species